rnacentral:tRNA from 1 species
AACAAAGUGGCCGAGAUCUUAGGCAAAAGAUUGUAGCUCUUUCUACGGACACACCCCUUUGUAA